UGUACAUUUCUCAAGUAUAAUGUCAAUAGCAUCACUGACACUGGGGCUCAGAAAAUCCACAGGAUCGUCACUCACAACAGUAACAUAAAGACAGUAAGGCUCUUCAACAACAGAAUUGAAUCCAGAGAGCUCUUCAGCACUGACCCACGAUUUGAGAUCUGGUGAUGCCAGUAAACUCUCUCUGGAAUCAACAAACAGUAGAGGGCAGCAACAAGAACCAAGAAAAUCCACAGCGAAGGUGGGGAGGAGGAGAUAGACAGCAAAACAACCAAAAGAAAGACCAAGUGCACUUAUACCAUUGAUUAGCGGAUCUACUCCUCUUCAUCCCGAAGAAGAGAAGAUCAUUUGCAAGCAGGCAGUGUUUGACUGUCUGAGAGCUCUAGUGUUUACUGCAAACGCAAUACAAGAGAGACAUUAUACUCAGGAAAUCACACUUACCUCAUUCCUGUGACUGAAAUGUUUGGCUAGUUAUGCAAGCGGAUCAAACCCGCUUUUGUUUUUAUGUGAAAUUCAACAUGCAUUUGGAAACUGGAAACAUGUUUUGCUUUUCUUGACUUUUCCUAAAAGUUUAAUCAUGAUCUUGCUUUAUUUCAUGCUUUAUUUUCUUUGGCUCAACGGAUAUUGAAUCAUUACUCAGGAACAGACUUUGAGUUUUUGUCUUUCUGAAUGAAUAGCUACUGGAUUUGAGAUGUUUAUCUGAUUUUAGCAGUGCUUUUGAGCAAUAUAUUCUAAGGUAGAGAAACAGAGGACGAUCUGAUGGAGAUGCACAUUAUCGGGGGAGUGCUUACAGAGCAUACAGCAUCUCAGCAGCUGUUGAAGUGCCUUCUAUACAUAUUAAACAAAAUUACACUUCAGUGAGGUUUGUUUUGAAGAGAGAUACACUGCAAAAAGUAUUUUA
ensembl:lncRNA